AUUGAACGCUGGCGGAAUGCUUUACACAUGCAAGUCGAACGGCAGCACGGACUUCGGUCUGGUGGCGAGUGGCGAACGGGUGAGUAAUGUAUCGGAACGUGCCCAGUCGUGGGGGAUAACGUAGUGAAAAUUACGCUAAUACCGCAUACGAUCUAUGGAUGAAAGCGGGGGAUCGCAAGACCUCGCGCGAUUGGAGCGGCCGAUAUCAGAUUAGGUAGUUGGUGGGGUAAGGCCCACCAAGCCAACGAUCUGUAUCGGGUCUGCGAGGACGACCAGCCACACUGGAACUGAGACACGGUCCAGACUCCUACGGGAGGCAGCAGUGGGGAAUUGUGGACAAUGGGCGAAAGCCUGAUCCAGCCAUUCCGCGUGCAGGAUGAAGGCCCUCGGGUUGUAAACUGCUUUUGUACAGAACGAAAAGGUUUCUACUAAUACUAGGAGCUCAUGACGGUACUGUAAGAAUAAGCACCGGCUAACUACGUGCCAGCCGCCGCCGUAA
rnacentral:rRNA from 1 species